UACAGAGGGGGCAAGCGUUAUUCGGAAUUAUUGGGCGUAAAGAGCUCGUAGGCGGUGUGUCGCGUCGGUCGUGAAAACUUGGGGCUUAACCCUGAGCUUGCGGUCGAUACGGGCAUCACUUGAGUUCGGCAGGGGAGACUGGAAUUCCUGGUGUAGCGGUGAAAUGCGCAGAUAUCAGGAGGAACACCGGUGGCGAAGGCGGGUCUCUGGGCCGAUACUGACGCUGAGGAGCGAAAGCGUGGGGAGCGAACAGG
rnacentral:rRNA from 1 species